ensembl:lncRNA
CCUAGGCCACCACACAACACAAACUGCUGCCAAAUAAAUUGUAUUUCAUUCCUAAAAUUAACAUAGACCCAUAUACCUACAUUUAAUUAAUUGGGUUAGGUGAAAAAUUUAAAAAAAAUAAAUAAAUCUGUGUCAAUCUCCGUGAAUUUAUUUACGUGAUGUCACGUGACUCCGGUUGAUUGACGGGCGAACGGACGGUGUUGGCAAAAGGUCAUGCAAAAGUUAAUGAUGUCGAGUCUUCAUCUUCAUCAUGGAUAAAGGUAAAAGACCAAAGAAGCCAUCAGGUGCCCAGUUCAGAAAAAGAAGAAAAGAAGAAGAGGAGAAACGGGCAAAAGAUAAAGCCUACAGGAAAACAUUGCGGCUGACAGCCUUCCAGAAAGAUGCCAGAUCUCUGCGACCUGCAAUGUAAUGCUCCCUUAGCCUCUGGAGACGGGCCUCCAACUCCCUCCACUUGCGUCUCCUUAUUGGGGGAGGAUCAGCCCGGUCUGCCCUCUCCAGCUUCUGCUCAGCAAGCUGAUGCUGGUCUUUCGAGUAGGGUCCAGCUGCAGCCCCGGAGAACAACACCCUUACUGCACUUCGUUCAUGGAAGGACUUCCACCACAGGCAUAUGGGAACGACUGUGGGAUCUUCAUGAUUAUGUAUGCUUGGUACCUUGCCAUGGAGGCCCUGUUUAACUUCACUGUUGUAAGUAGGCAUUAAAUUAAAUGAAAAAAGUGCUGACGAUUGAAAAGAUACGUUUAAAAUAAGAAUUGGAUUUUUGAGAUAUGUAAGGUUACAACAUCGAAAAACUCAUAAAAUUCGUCCUCAGAAAAUGGUGGUGCACAGUACUGCCUGAGAACUUCCACCUGGAUGGGCACGGCAGAAGGUUCCCACACUUCAUGGAGGAGGCCAAACAAAUGGCGGCUGAACUACUUCCACCAGUCUUCAGACUGAAGCGAAAAAGAGAAGUCCACAGUACUUCCGUCCCGCCUGGGUGUUCUGUCACGCCAGGGUGUUGCUGUCCGGGGCUGCAGCUGGAUACUAUCAGACCCGGCCGCGGACUCUCGGAAGAUCUGGAUUAGAUACGUCAUGAGCCCGGCAGCUCCCCACGGCCCACGGGCUGUGUGGAGCCCGUGAUCGGGCUCUGCAGCCCAGCCGUGGACCGCGGUCGGGGAGCUGCCGGGCUCCCCGACCGCGGGGUUCAGUGUUUCUUAUUUAAAUAAAG